GGAGGCGGCGGGGAGCAUGGCGGCGGCGGGCGGCGGCGGGGCGCGGCGGGGGCUGCUGAAGCGGAAGCCGAACUUCACGCUGCAGGAGCUGGAGGUGCUGAUGAGCGAAGUGCUCCGGUACGAGCCGCUGCUGUUCGGCGCCGCCGCCGGUACCGUGAACGCGUACGAGAAGCAGAAGAUCUGGUGGCGGAUCACGCACAAGGUGAACGCUGCCGGUCGCCACCAGCGCGACAUCGGCGAGGUGAAGAACCGCUGGCGGGGGCUACGCCGCCGCGCCGGGGACAAGAUCAGCCGGCACCGGCUGGAGCGGCAGGGCCCGGCCGGCAGGGCCGCCGCCAGGAACGGGAACACCGGGAGCACCGGGAAUAACGGGAGCAACGGGAACGGCGGGGCCGAGUCCGGCCCGGGGCCCGCCCCCGCCCCCGUCUGGGGUCCUCGCGGCGCCACCGGAACCGACCCUCCGAUGCGCAGCGCCGAAGGGUCGGCACAGCACGGUGAAUGUGUCAAGGAGCCGGUGAAGGAGGAGCCUGUGGAGGUGAAGACUGAGCCCUUCCACGGCCCCGCUGCCGACGGCAUUCCCGGCCGCGGCUCAGACUGUCGGCUGCCCCGCACCGGCAUCUGCCCGCCCAACGAGCUGUGCGAGGGCUGGAGCCGGAGCCCCCCGCGCUCCGCACCCUCCGAACUCUCCCUCGGCGACCUCCGCGGCCAGCAGGAGCCGCUGGGCUCCGACUUCCCGAGCCUGCUGUUGGAUCCGGAGGCCGAGCAGCUCAGUCACUGCGGCGCGGGCGAGGCGGGGGUCCCCGGGGCGGCGGGGCUGGACGGGACCCCCGAGUGCCCCCAGAUCAGCCUCGUGCAGUCCAAUGAGCGGCUGGUGCAGGAGAUGCGGGCGUUCCGCCGGGAAUACGCCGAGAGCCGUCGGGAGACCACGGCGGUGCUGCGCGGCAUUGCCCAGGCACUGGGCGUGCUCAGUCGCAGCCUGGCUGAAAUCCGUGACCUCUACCUCCGGGAGCGGGGGGUCCCCAAAUCAUGA
rnacentral:lncRNA from 1 species